UACGAAUGGAGCGAGCGUUGUUCGGAAUCAUUGGGCGUAAAGCGUAUGUAGGCGGACUGAUCAGUCAGACGUGAAAUCCCGAGGCUCAACCUCGGAAUUGCGUUUGAUACUGUCAGUCUAGUGUCCCGGAGGGGUUGACGGAAUUCCUAGUGUAGAGGUGAAAUUCGCAGAUAUUAGGAGGAACACCAGUGGCGUAGGCGGUCAACUGGACGGGUACAGACGCUGAGAUACGAAAGCGUGGGGAGCAAAC
rnacentral:rRNA from 1 species